GUUCACUUAUUUUAGUUUAAAAGACAUCUUUGUCAGACACUUGUCUUUGAAAGCCAUAGCUAUUCAAAGGCGUCUAAAUUUUAUUACGCCUAAUACAGGUCUUUAAACGUCUUUAAAAAACGCUGAGAAGAGAAAUGUUUUUUUUUUAAUAUUGUUACUCUGUAGAAGUUACUGAUAUACCUGUUACUUCAAUGAAGUUUUCAUUCUAUUUAUAAAAUAUUUUAUUUUUUCUUCAAACCUAAUAUUUGUUUAACUUUCUACAGGUAAUACUAAUAUGAAAACAAUUUUUAUUGUUUUUUGAUUUAUACUCGGGUAAAAUAUUCGUUUUCUUAUUUUAAUUUAUUGUUAAAACAUAUAUUUUUUCAUUAUUUUAUUUUAUGGUUAUUUUCAAGAGAAGGCAGAGACACCAACAAAAAGCUUUGAAGUUAAUGAUAGUGAAGAGGAGGCAGAUAAUUAUAAAAAUCUUUGCAGCUAAAGACAGUGAAGAAUCGAGUCGAAGUACUGUAGCCAGCUGGGCUACGCUCACUGGAUGAAUUGCAAAUUAAAACUGAUUUAAUACAAAGACGGCAUAAGAUAAUCAAACCAGGUAAUAAAACAAUUCACUCUAUGGAUCCUAUGGGAGAACAGAUAAAUUCCAUCAAAAAAGAAGAAGUGAAAUGGAAUAGUUGUUACUUACAACAAAGAUAUGGUGUUUCAGAAAAGUUUGAAAUAUUAACAUUACCACAUGCCAUACAAGCUGAAGUUUGCUGAAAGUUAUACAAAUGGAGAAGUAUUGGUGCGUUUCUUUCCACAUGUAGAAGUUAAUGCAUAUAGAAAGAGAGAUAAAGGAGGUCAGAAAAGUUAGCAGAAUAGUUUGAGUCGCAUUUGUGGAAGCGAAAUUGGUCAAAAAACUAGAAAAAAUCAAAAAAAAGUUAAAUGGAUCAAAUGUGAUAUUUGCAUCCAAAUCGAUGGUACCGUAUAAGAUGCAUUGUUUUUAAAAAUGAAACUUUAUUUUGUUGUGAACAUAUUUAUAUAUAAAUGUAAUAAUAAAUAAAACUUUAAAAAUUGCAGUCA